rnacentral:rRNA from 1 species
AUACGACUCAGUAACACGUGGAUAAUCUGCCCUUAGCGGAGGAUACCCUUGGGAAACUGAGAAUAAUACUCCAUAAUCUAGAGGCUGGGAAUGCACUUAAUCCAAAGCUUCACGGCGCCUAAGGAUGAGUCUGCGGACUAUCAGGUAGUAGUCAGGGUAACGACCUGACUAGCCUACGACGGAUACGGGUUGUGGGAGCAAUAACCCGGAGAUGAUAUCUGAGACACGAUAUCAGGCCCUACGGGGCGCACAGCGCGAAAACUUCGCACUGUGCGAAAGCACGACGAGGGGAUCCCAAGUGCUGGCUCGUUAGAGUCAGCUGUUUCUCUGUCUAAAAAACAGAGAGAGUAAGGGCUGGGUAAGACGGGUGCCAGCCGCCGCGGUAAUACCUGCAGCCCAAGUGGUGGUCUGUAUUAUUGGGCCUAAAAACGUCCGUAGCCGGUUCUGUAAAUGCCUGGGUAAAUCGUGUAGCUUAACUAUACGGAAUUCCUGGUAGACUGCAGGACUUGAGAUCGGGAAAGCUAGAGGUACUUCCUGGGGUAAGGUGAACAUUCUGUAA